AUUGAACGCUGGCGGCAUGCCUUACACAUGCAAGUCGAACGGUAACGCGGGGCAACCUGGCGACGAGUGGCGAACGGGUGAGUAAUGCAUCGGAACGUGCCCAGUAGUGGGGGAUAGCCCGGCGAAAGCCGGAUUAAUACCGCAUACGACCUACGGGUGAAAGGGGGGGAUCGCAAGACCUCUCGCUAUUGGAGCGGCCGAUGUCAGAUUAGGUAGUUGGUGGGGUAAAAGCCUACCAAGCCGACGAUCUGUAGCUGGUCUGAGAGGACGACCAGCCACACUGGGACUGAGACACGGCCCAGACUCCUACGGGAGGCAGCAGUGGGGAAUUUUGGACAAUGGGCGCAAGCCUGAUCCAGCCAUGCCGCGUGCGGGAAGAAGGGCCUUCGGGUUGUAACCGCUUUGUCAGGGAGAAAUCGGCGGGUGAUAUCCUGCCUGGAUGACGGUACUGUCAGAAGAAGCACCGGCUAACUACGUGCCAGCAGCCGCGGUAA
rnacentral:rRNA from 1 species